UCCGGAUUGGUGUAGGGGUUAACAUUGCCGCCUCUCACUGCGUCCUUUAGACAUGUGAUGAAUCGCGGCAGCCCGGGGUUCGAUUCCCCGAUCCGGAA